AGCUGAAUAUGUGCAAGAGGUGGCACAGCCCUGUGUUUGUGACUGGACCGGUAUCACACUCUUUGCCUGCUACAGCACUAGCCCCAUACCAGCUCUUCCAGCUCCAGCUGCCAUACAUUAAACAUGUGUCAGGGAUCUCACUGGGCCCACAAUCCUCUCAAAGCCCCACUGCCAGCAAAUCAAAAGCACCAUUCUACCAGGUACUUCAGAGUGGAAAGGAAGGACAGUGAUGUUAAGCCUGUGGGAAUUGAAUGCAAGUAAAAUUCCCUCUCAGAGAACUGCACUGCCACAUUUUCAGACCACGGAAUGCCAACAAGGCUGAAAUGGCAAAUGAGCAUGAACAAAGUUUAGCAACAGAAGACUUGCACAACAUUGGGACAAAAAGUGGACAAAUACUAAUUUUAGAGGACAACUACGGGGAAAUAUAUAGUUGCAAUAGCACUCACCUGCAAAACGUGCAAAAAAGCUCAUAAGACAAGAAAAUUAAUUACAAGGAGAACAGAGAGAAGAACACGUUUGUUGAAUAGAGAAAGAAUCUAGAAACCUUAACACAUCAAGAUUGAGGCUUAAUUAGUACAGCAGAAAGUAAUUAAAAGACUAAAUGGACACUUCCUCUAGACUGGGCUCUAGCCUGUAUGGGUGAACAGAGUGCGUAAGUGCAACACAGAGUGUUGAAGUCUCAGAGAAAGUCUGCAGGAAAAGGGAAGUUAAGAACAGUUAUCUCCUUCCAAGAAACUAUAAUAAAAUCAUAGACACAAACUAUCCCAGUAGAGAGGAAUAAAGGAGAGUAGUAGGGUUUUAACAUCACUAAAUUACGAGUUCUUUACUGCUAUCAAGACAGGGAAUAAAAAGCCCAAAGAAAAUAGCAAGGUAUCAGAAUAUAUGAUGAGGAGUACAAGAAUAGUACAAACAUGAAGGGGCAAAAUCAUUAUGCUCAAAGCACAAAACUAACUAGGGAUAUCAAGAAUAAUAAGAUACCAUUCUAUUAGUACAUUAGUUAGAUGAAGAAAAAUGUGGAUCUGUAAAUCAAUGGAGAGGAAGAUCAACUGACAGAUGAUGCGAGUUGGCUGAAGUGCUUAACAUCCUUUUUAUGUCACCUUUCAUUCAAAAUUUCCCGUGAAGAGACAUGGAUAAUUCACAUAAUACUCAUGAAGAGGGAUAUGGUCACAUAGUCUUACUCCAAAACAGCAAAACAGAUUAGAGAGUACUUAGCAAAAUUAGAUGUUUUUCAAGCCAUUUGGUCCUGAUGAAUUUAAUCCCAGUAUAUCUAAAGAACUGUUUGAAACUGUCUUUGAGACUUUGUGGAAGACAGGUAAAGUCUGGACAAAUGAAUAUAGUGUCUACCAUGAAAAGCAAGAAAAAAGGAAAGAACAAACAAGGGAAUUCUUGACCAGUCAUCUUGAGCUUAAUUUUCAGAAAAUUCUUGAACAAUGAAUCAGAACAGCUUGUGAGCACUUAACUAUAAAAGAUGAGUAGCAAUCAACAUUGAUUUGAAAACAAAUCAUGUCAACAACAACCUAAUUUCCUUCUACAACAGGAUAAGAAGCCUUGUGGAAAACAGCAAGUGUCAUGUAUCUUGACUUUAUUUUGGCCUUUUGACAGUUUUUUUGUAAUAUUCUUACAUGCAAACUCAGAGGAAAGCAAACAGUCUUAUCUUAGUAUCAUACAGAUAAAAAGCCACUUGGUUACAGAAGUCCAACCAUUAUUAAAAUAUAUAAAUAUUUAAUAUAAUAAAAAAUAAAUAUAAUAUAUAAAAUAUAAAGACUACAACAACUGGGUUGUUGCCUUGGAGUUUUGUUUUUAUUAUUAUUUGACUUUUUCAUUAAUAACAUAGAUGAUGGGAAAAAAAAAUACUGUUUACCGAACUUGCAGACAACUUGAAUCUGGAAAGGCACCAAAUGACUGAAUAAAAUUCAAAAUGUCCUUGGCAAAUACAAGUAAUGGUCUGGAGACAGUAGAGGAAAUUCAAGAGGAAUAUGGGUAAAGUACUGUACCUAGGCAGAAAUAAUUAAUGACAAAUACAAAAUGGCAUAUAACUGGGACAGCAGCAGCUCUUCAGAAAAGGAUAAGGUUAUGGUGAAUUAUAAAUCUGAUGUAAGUUUGUAAUAUCUUAGUGAAGCAAGGGGUCAUUCGUCAUUUUUGGCUUUAUCAAAGCAGACAUGUAGCCCAGAGGAUACAGGAAGUAAACUUCAACUCUACUCAGUUUUGAAAAGUUUCAAGAUGCAAAUUGUCCAAAUAGAAACAGCAGAGGAAUACUCACAAAAAAAAAGCAUGAAUGAUAAUAAACAUAGAUAUCACAGAGUAGGAAAAAAAAUGCAAAAAAAUAACUACAUGUCAUGGUAACUUAACAGUGGUAAACCAUUGACACUACAUUACCCAAAUUUCCUGGGCAUAAAAAGCUGUUGCAGAGGAAAUAUGAAUAAUUGAAGAAAGAAGUGAAGUAAACUGCACCAAGGAAGAUUUAGGUUAGGCAACAAGAAAGUCUUUCUGAUGGUAAGAAAAAUGAGGUACUAGAAUAGAUCACUUGAAGUAGUAUUCACAACAGUCUAGACAAAUAUUUAUCAGAAACAACAAAAUGUACAGUCUAUCCUCUUUUGGACAGGGAAGCCGACCACAUGUGUUCCUUAGGCUUUUUGUUUAUUCUUAAGGUUCUAGAACAGCUAAAAUCAUGGACAAGUAUUGAAAGAAUAAUCCUCCAAAAGAAAGACAGACAUGAGGGACAAGAACUACCAAGCAUUACAAAAUUAUCACAUACCUUAGGAUUAUGAAAUUUCAGCCCAUAGAGCGAUUGCCUUCAUGCUUGAAUUUCAGAAAGAUAUGUAUUUGAACAAGUUCUCUAGGCCAGAAGUAAGUGGCAGAGAUUCUUACAAUCCUUUGAGAUAGCCUCAUUACACCAGGACUGUCAACCCCUUAGGUUUCAGCAUGCACUACAUUGCUUACAACUAAAUCCAUUGUGUUCAGAGACUACACAGAGUCUUUAGAAUAUAAGCCAGUACCUGCUAGGCCAUUCAGCUGGUCUGUUUCCAGCACCAAGUCACAGUAAAGUGGCAGCAGUAAAUUUAACCACCUACUGUCACUUGCUAUCAGGGGCAGAAAAAGGAAGAUAAGUUAGGAAACACCAUGAAAGGAGCAGCAAAGGUAGAAUGCUGAAAAGCAAUUCUACUGGGGGAUGCAUUACUUUGUUAAUAGUGUAUUCAUCAAAAGUAGGCUAUUGUAUUACAAAGGAAAAGCAGAAAAUCCAAUAAGGAGUGAGUCUCAACUAUAUUUUUAAUAUUUUCAAGACCUUUCAAAAGUCAAGAAUUUAUGGUACCAAUGCACUGGCAACAGCAUCUCACAGUUCUGUGAUGAUCUCCAAGGGUGCACAAGUGGCAGCAGUCUGUAAUGUUGCUUUUCAUCCUUCUCUCCAUUCCCUCACUUCUCCAUGCUCCUAACACAGAUUGUAUUUAAAACCACCUUUACAGAAUUCACUUUCUGUGCCCUCCCAUCAAAGCCCACCCUGCAGUACUGUUCCCUGCUUCAUUCCCUCCCUGCUUUCCUCUCUUCCACAGAAGCAAGACCCAACCUCAGCCUUUCAGCUCUCCAUGCCACUCUCUCUACUCACCUUACCCAUGUUCCCUGGCCCAUGUUGCCUCAGGCCUUCUCCCCAGUCGUGAACAGAGACUAACAAUGUUUCAUGAGCAGAACAGGCUGUUUUACCAAGGCCACAUGCCACAUGACUUUCCUUAAGUGCUGUUGAGGUCACCCAGGCCAUUACUGAAGGGAAGACAUUUAUUGUGUGGUCACGUAAGAACCUCCACCUGGGCAGAGCUGGGAGACACUGGGUAUUUGAGCAGCUCAUGCACUCAACAGAUUAGUCCAAUCUUUAGCACGUAUCACAAAGGAGAACUACAGAGAUUUUUCUUCUGAAUCAGACUUCACAGCCUUCUGCCUGCCAAGAUUGCCUCAUCUGGCCCAAGGAAUAAGAAUUUACACAACAGCUCAUAUGGUACUUCCCACUACCUGGGCUGUAACUACAGAUGAUGCCUGCUAGCAGAGCCCCUUCUGCUCAGGGCUUGGAGACAUUAAGCCCUGUAGACAUUGCUAACACAAUGAUCUCUGCCUGCUUCCCAGAAUCACAUGCAGAAGACACAGCUGGUCAGCAGGAUGGUUAGAUGCAUCAGGAACAUGGAGUCCUAUAGCUGUGCUGUGUUUGCCAAUGUGAAUUGCAAAGACUUGCAUCACUAGGAAGCAUAACAGAGACUGACCAAAUGAGUGAGACCCCGACAUAAUACACAGUGCCUAGCAGAUGUGAAAGGUCUUCACAUGACAGAGCAAAGGCUCUAGCCUUCAAUUAAAUUCCAGUUGUUCAAUAGGGAGUUAUAAAAAUCUAUAAAAAUAUUUAUUCUAUCAUAUUAAUAGGUAAACUGAUGUAAUAAAUACAUAAUAUUCCUUUGCUCAAGGAAACUCAGGAAGUUCACAAUUUUUCUUGAAUAACUAAUGCAGGCAUAGGUUAAAAAAAAGCUUAAUUCUCUCAGUGGCAGAACUGUUUGAGUAAUGGGAACAAGAUUAAGUCCCAACAUUUUCCAAACAAGUUGAACCAUUACCUAAACUUCUUAUGCAAACACUUCUUAUACAUUCCUACUCUUUCUAAAUGCACUACUUGUAAAUACAGGCAUAAGUAUAUGGGUUAGCACAUAUGUAAACACACAAACUAUUUUGCAUAUUUGUGAUGGCUGUAGCCAUUGUGAAGCCACUGGAACUCUCCUGAUGACUGGAGACACAUGUUCCCCAGAGAAUAAAACUGAGAUACCAAGAACUAAAUUCAUACUACAGUGAUUCAUGUUUCUGACUCCAUCCAGUUGCUCAGUGCUCUCUGCUUUUACAUUACUUUAAACUUCAGAUUUCCAAAUAUCUUUCACACUCAACAUUUCAGAUGAAUUAAGCUAUUUCUUUCAUGUGUGAACCAACCUGUAGAUCACAUGAUACCCACAGCAAAGUAACACUGAGAUCAAGAGCUUACUAAAAAAAGGAGAGAAAAAGAAAAAUAAAAAAAGAAAUUUUACAUGGCUUGUAUGAAUAUCCAUUAUAAACAUCAAACAGAACUCCAAUUGAGUAGAAAACUUGUACAUACAUUGUUCAAAGACUUGGCAAAUUAUCUCAUGGCAGAGCAAGGUAGGAGCUUACUCCAUGGACAGUUUUUUCCAUACUUGUUCAAUAGAAAACUUUCCUUAUUUAUCUCAGGAGUUUCUAACGCUUUCAGAAGCAGAAGAGACAGAAUGUAUGAACAAUUUAAGUUUUCCAGCAGUUCUUGUCUUCCUGCAGAUACCCAUACAUUUCACUUUCAUGUAAAUACUGUACACUACAAUUACAAAACAUUUGAAAUAAUGUUUUAGUCAGAAGCACCCGUUACCUGGAAUUUCUAAGCUCAUCUUGAUCCCCAAGUCUUCUGGACAGCAUUUUCAAAGCUGGCAUAUAGACUGGCUCUUUUAAAUCCAUAUGCUACUAAAAGCUCUUUGCACCCAGCACCUUGUGCAGGGGCUUCUUGAUACUAAGAACUUUGAAAAAGUAGAUGCUUAUUUAGAAGCUUAAGUAUGGAACUAGGCAAGUAAGAUGAGAUAAUCAUUGUUUUUUUUUUUUUUUUUUUUUUAACUUCACUCUUGACAGUUUCAGAAUAUAUGAUAUGGAGGCAGAAAGCAUACGAUAAACCUAAGGUCAGCUAGUAGACUCGAACAAACACACCCAUUUUGAGGCUAGCAGAUGACUACUUCCAAAAAAACCUUCAAGUUGAUCACUUUUUUUUUGCUGCCCUGGUAAAGCUGGAACAAGCAGAUAUUUUUAAAAUGCAUGCAUACACAAGUUUUCACUGUGCAAGUGACAUGGACAAAUCUCAUGUUGCUUAGCAUGGAGAUUCUAUUCAGCUAACUCACAGUUUGUCAAUUAUAAACUUUAAUCAAUAGCAUUUUAACCUUAUAUGUGCACUUAGGAAUAAAGUCAAAUUAAACGGAUGUAAUACAAGUAAGGCUGGGAAACAUGCUCUAAAACAUUCUUCAGGGCACAAUCUGAACAUACAGUUAUGAGCUCCUAUUUUCACAGUGUGCAUAGGCCUCUUUAAGAGAAAAUGAGUCUCUCCCAAGAUGGCUUGCCAUUGCUACGCUCCCAACAUUUUCUCUCAGCACAGCCAAAGAAAAAUGCACAUCCCUCUUUGUCAACUUUGAGCUAACCCUACACUAGAGUAGCCAAAUAUAAGCAAGUUGCCAAAAGGAAGUAGAACUUGAAAAUACACUUCCCCUCCUUUUAGUAAUUCUAGAAGUCACUGUAAGCAUACAGUACUUCUAUCUUCAUGUUUUACUCCUAGAUAUUGGAGUCUAUGCAUCUACAGUGACUAACAAAAAAAUCAUCAUUAUCUGUGGACCCUCCAACAACUGCACAGAAAAACACUGUGUCCAAGGACCGGCUGGACAACCAGUACUCUGACAAGAACACUGCAGUAAUUGGUGGCAGAAUAUUUUCCUCAGAGCAAAGGAACUAUUGAAAUUUGCUUUGUUCUGGGGCCCCAGUAUCAAAUGAAUUUCCUGGGACAGUUUAUCUGUCUCUAACAUCAAAUUUGCACGGAGAUGUUCAGAAAGUUAAGGCAAAUCAACCAAAUGUUUAACUUCAAUAUGCACACGUUUAAUUGUCCUGAAGCUAUGAGUGGAUGCUCUAAUUCAACAGCAAAGCUCCCUGUAGCUCCUUAUUCAGUUAAGCUACAUUGGCCUAAGACUAAUUUACUCCUGAAUUAAAGCAGCUGGCUGAAGGGAGUGUUUAGAGGAACAACAAAUAUACAGAAUGCCUGAUGUUUCUUCUCCCCAGAAUAAUUCAUUCUUUUUAAACGAACUGUCAGAUCACCAUCUUUGGAGACCUCACAUCAUGUCACAGUCAUACCUACUGACACUUGGUUUCAUUCAUCACAAUUUUGGAAAUUGCAAUCAGAUUCUACUGCAUUCUACCAUUUCUAAUCCCAAACCCUGUUAUGUUACCCCAGCAAUUUCUGGAAAUUUAUUACAAUCUGUGAAUUCAAGCACAGAUUAAUUUUUUGAGCACCAAUAGAGCCAGGCACCACCAAGAGAAAGAAGUAGGUAGCACACAAUGCAGACAUUGUAUGUUUUGAAAACAGAAUAUUUGAUCUCUUGGUGUCAGUUAAUAAAUAAAAUACCGCCAUACCUGAAGUGAUUCAUGCAGUGCCAUCAGGUAAGAACUUUUUAAUAUUUUGAUACCUUUUAUGACUCAAAAUAACAACAAUAAUAAGAAUGCAAAUGAAAGCAAAGCCCUCUGGACAAUACUUUCAGCGAUUUGCUGGGGAGAAGGACCCCUAGUGUCCGUCUGGAUUCCAGCCAGCCUUGCUCUGGUGGCUGCGCAGCAUCCAGGAUGAAAGAACAUCUUAGCUUGUAAAAAUAUUUCCUGCAAGCACUUUCCUAUCUGACUUCUUUAGAAGACAACUGAUUAAGCUGAAAAAUAAACAUAUAUGGUUCUUUUUUCUUAAACCAAUUAUUUCAAAAUAUUAUCAAGGUAUCAUGUGAUCAUCUGGACUCUGAGGAUUCAUCAUUACUGAUGAACGGGAAUGUGCCUUGGCACAAUAGUUUCGGUGGUUGAUUAUGCACUGCAGACACCUAUAGAUAAACAUCUCUAUUUGUAAAAAAUGAGCACCGUCUCUGGGAGCAGUUUCUGAUGAGGCUUUAAAAGCAGCAUCAAAAAACACCCGUAAUGCUAGAAGGAUGAGGGUGCCCAGCCCUGUCGCGUACUAGCAUUGCUUUCUAAGAGAGGGAAAAAAAAAUCUCCCAAUCUGCACUAUUCCUUACGAUCAGGAUUUUACCCGUUUAUUUGGCUAAUCAUUCAAAUGGCUGAACAGACCUCUAAUUUGAAAAUAAAAACCGAUUGAUGCAAUCACAAACAAGUUCUGAAAUUGUGAUUUAUAAAAAAAGAGGGGAAAUCUUGUUCGAAGCCAAAACACACACACAGUUACCUUUUUCUAAUCACAGCAUUCAUUUCUCCUCAUUAUGAUCUCACAAGCACAUUAAAAUCUUAUUAACAUUAAUUACUUCUGAGCGUCUAUGCAUGAGCAGCGACAGGCUUGCGUGCGCGCGCGUGUGUGUAUGUGUGUGUGUCUCUGGAUCAUAUCUACAUUUAUAUACCUUGCUGCACUUUGCUUAUAAAACAUGUGAAAAUAUUGCUGCUAACACCAAUUAGCUAAUUUCACACACACAGAUAGUAAGCUGCUGUCUCGCUGCACAGCUUAUUAUAGACCAGCAGACAGAUGGACAGACAAACAGACACAAAAAGCAUCACAGCUCCUCCUAAACGCAAGAUCUGAAAUGCCUGGCACCCCCAGGAGUGCGAGUUUUAUCCUCGUAAGUCUGAGGGAACAAAAUGACACGAAUGAAAAAAAUAAUAAGAAAAUACAAGACAGCCAAAUAUCCCAUUUUCUACACAGAUGGGUUCAAUGAUGAAGUGAUAGAGACAAAGAAAAAACUGGCAGGCAGACAAGCAGCAGGCGCACAGAGAGAUAGACGGAGACAGAUAAACAAAGCAACAGAGAAAGAGAUGAAAGCGUAUUAAUAUAUAUGUGAAUUCGGGCUAAGCAAUAUAAACUUUAUCCCAGCAAUAAGGUAAGGAAAGAAAUGGCAGAGCUAAGAGUCACAAUAGGUUCAACUUUGCAAGCAAAAUAAAAUCCCGACUCUCUGCAAAACUAUUUAUGGCUUCUAUUUAUACCGAGAACACUCCACACGGCACUGCCCCAAUGAUAUUCAGCACUGCCACCACGAACAAGAAUAAACACAGGCACCCAAACGGCAGCUGCUAUAGCACAGGACCUUCCACUUCCUUCCCACUCUUUGUUUCCAUCUUUCUUAGAUUCACCUCUGCCCUAAAUCCUACCCCUCAGUCAGGAGGUAAGGUACAAACACAGCAAGGUCCUUCAUCAUGACAAAGCCGUGUCUCCUCAUCGCCCAGGGAUCCUCCUCCCAACUGCAACCCUGGGCCGGCAUUCAAACUUCCACCUGCCCUCCUGUCACUCCAUUUUAGAGCUAGGGGGAACAGAGGGAUGAAGUACCUAGAUGAGUAACAAGGCCUAAAAAGUCAUUUUAUUUACAUUACUCACAUCUUCACUUCUUCCAGGCACACUAAGGUCAAUAUUUUUUAAUCAGGUACUGUUUAUAUUUAAAAAUCAGUGUUUGAAGAUUGCGCUAAGCAUGCUUGGCCUUUGUUUAUGGACAAUUGAUCUCACUCAUGACCUACUCCUAAUGACACUCACCCAGGAAGACCCAAUCCUUUCUGAGUGCAGGAUUAGCAUGAAUGCAGCCAAGAAACUCUAGGUCACGUAGGAUGCACUUCAGCCAACCAAAUCAGUCCUGGUACAUUCACAGUAAAUUCAGUGAUUUUGAGAAGCUUUGGAGCUCCUGAGCAUGGACAUUACGUCUGUAUCACAUGAGAAACUUGGUGCAUCAUGACUGAAUUCUGCCCAGCUCCAUUUUGUUGUGCAUGCACAACAAGAUCACACAUCAGAGAAGAAGCCAGGGCAUAUGGCCCUUUCUGCCACAAGGAGCAGGUACAUGAUCUGCUCAGGCAGAAAAUAAGCAAGCAAAUUGAACGCUACUCCAUUUACUCAGCUUACUGUGCUGCUUUUGUUAAAGUCAAAUAUACAGAUGUCGAAAAAGAAGAUACAGAAAAGCAAAAGGUUUGGAAAAUAAGUAAAGAACAAAAAAAAUUUUGAAGCUGUGUAUAUAUUUUUUUUUUCCCCCACAUGGCAAAGUGGGCAUUUGCAUACAUUUUUCCUGCAUUGCUCCUUUCCUGGUCUCUCCCCACAGAAUUAAACUGAGAACACUUUUGAGUAGACACAGAGCCUCACCCAUUCUGGUUAAUACUUUUUCAGCCAGAAAUGCAGCUCACACACCCAGGCUUCCCAAACAUCCAGGAGGAAUACCCCUGCCAAUCUUUCUUCAAGCUCCCAUGAUGCUUUGGCCUUGUUGAUCUCUAAGUAUGUUUGAAGCUUUGAAAAACAGGAGAGACAAGGAGAACUUCCCCCUAAGCACGUCAGUUAAUCCCAUCGCAGUAGGAGGAAGGGCUACAAAAAGAUGAGUUCAAUAAAAUGGUUAAGAAAUAAGUAUCCAUUGGGUUUGCUGACUGAAUGUUUACAUAGCCAUUGCCUCUUUAAUGUACCUUUUCCCAAAACCCAUGUAGAUACAUAUGGCUGAUAGCACCUCAAAGGAAAAAUAGAAUGCCAUAUAAAGCACUGCUUUGGAGUUCUGAAGAAUACACGUGCCCUAAUUAUAUAUAGCAAAAGUUUUAACUCAACAAAUUAGAGAAAGAAACAUACAAACACUAACAUAGAAGCUCAAUUAUGUAAGUAAACAUGUAACAGUGGAAAUGCUCAAUGAAGAAACAAAGUUGCUGGUUUUUAUUAAGACAGUAGCAAGCAGAGGCAAGCAUGUAACCUGCAGAAUUUCCCUACAUCUAACCAGAUCAAAGUGUCCUAAAAGGUAUGAGUAUUCAAAUGCAGCUGUCUUGAGGAACGUCUCUCAUAGGACCAGUGCUUACAAACAGAGGCAAACAAAUCUCAGAGACCAUUCAAUCUAUAAAACGGGUCACUAUGCAUAAAUGAAAGGAUAGUAGGGAAAAAUCUCCAGGGAAAGAAAACAAACAAGGCAUUUAUUGGCUUCCCUGUACAAAGCAGCUUGAUCUGCCUCUUUUGAGUGGGAGUUCUCCCAGUAAACCUGGUCUCUUCAUCUCCUGGAUGAACUAUGCUGUAUCUACCAAAAGUCAUGGCAUGCUGAGACAACCUGAAAGUACUUAAGGAGUGCACUUUGCAUCCAGACCAGUCUCGAGAUCCAAAGCUCUUUGUGUCCUUCUGAAGAUUAAUAAGAGGAGGUUUUUGACUCUAUCCUGGCUUUUGUAAGCUUCUUGAGGAUUACUGAAAUUGGAGAUAGCAUAUUAAAAAGCUAGUUCAUCCAUUUCCUAGAAGGUACAUUCAUUCACUUUGCCCUUCAGUUCUUGAAACACGAGACAUGCCUGAGGAGUGUUCUUUGUUAGAGCAUCUCACAAGUAUAUCCAGUGAUGAUAAGUCCACAUGUGUCUGAUAAAGAAAAAACCUUACCGUGCAUUCCAGCCUCUUCUUCUGUAAACAUACCAAACUAGAUGAAUUUGGCUCUCAAAAGGAGAAAGCAUUAAUUCUGCUGGUGUACAGUUAAUAAGUAUACAGAUGCUAUACAGAGAAGUUAGGCUGGUAAGAUUACCACACUGGAAAAGAAAAUCAGAUAUAAAUGAAAGGUGCUCACCAGUGUUGCAGGCUCACAAAAACUCCAUGAGACGUGAUCUCCAGAAAGAGAUCCUUCCUUAGUGGCAGUCAGCCCUUAAAUGGGGUCUAGGAGAGGUGCAGCCUGGCUCCACCCCUUCUGGUCACACAGCUGAAUUGCCUUCACCUGUGCUCCUGUGACUCAGUGAUCACCUCAGGUGGUCAAUCAGAGGUUCAGGUCAUGAUUCAACAGUUCCCGUACAGCUGGCUAAUAAAACUUUCUGUUGCUGUCCUUCCAAUCAAUAAACAUUAAAAUUGGCAUUUGGGACAUGGGAAAGAAGGACAAAAUGAAAGCUUGUCUGCAAGUUUUCAAGAGUUCAGAUUUGAAUCUUAUUCUGAGGAAACAAAAAGUUAAAUGCAACUAUUUGCUGCACAGUUUCCAGGUUGAAUGGACAAACAGCUCUUUCCUUUCCCUCACAGAUGCCUCAGCAGUAAUAUAUCUGUGCUCUGCCCAAAUCCAGUAUUUGCAAGCUUCCAUUAUUACUUGCAUAUGCUACAUUUCCACUGACAGUUUAAACAGACAAGUAACAAUCCUCUUCAAAUAUGUGUGUCCAAAGAACCCUGAGGGGCUAUCUUCUCUUUUACUUACUGCAGCUCCCAUAGAGCUUACCAGCAGUGAUGCAGACAAGCAGCUACACACACAAGAAGCCCAGAACAUGACUGUUGGACAGUACUUUUGUCUUUAUUUGCAAUACGGAGCUUCAGCCUCCUUCUUACGACCAUUUCAUGAAGCCAGCAACAUCACUGUAUAUUUCAGCAAGGUAUAAUCUUCUCCUAUAAUUAUUAAUGCUCAAAUAGAGGUGACAGAUUGGUUCAGUUUUCAAACACCUCUUUCUUGCGCAGAACUGGCUCAAAUCUAACUCUGUUCCUUACUGGGACAGGUCUCACUGUGGGAAAGCCAACUGGAACAGGAAAGUUACUUGUUGCUUACAAGACUUUGAAGUUAUAUUAACUGAGCUAACUGAGUGAUAAUAAAUAAUAAUACAAUAAGCAAACAAAAUAACAACAUAUAUAUUCUUUAAUUCCACUGUUAAAAGUAAGACUUUGUUGACAUGUGGGCACAUUAAAUGUGUUUGGACUCAAUUUUCAGUUACAGUAGGUCUUUUUAUCUCGCUCUGAAAGUACAAGACUUCUAUGGCAAAGCUCCAUAUGCAUUAUGAGACCACAGCGAUGUAGAAAAAAAUGUUAACAGUUUUGAUAUGGUCAAGACUCAUUUGAGCUUCCUUUGUCCAUGGAACAUGGUCUUUACUUUUCCAGGUCCUAUCUGCUUGUACAAUACACUGAGAAAGGAAGGAAGGCAUCACUUCCUCUUUCUCUCUGUGCCUCGAUUGUUCCUGAUUUUAAGAAAUGGAAAUCGUAACAUUGAUUCAGCUACUGGAGUUAAGCAAAACUAAACUAAUCACUUCUGUUGAACAUUGUGAGAUAUUUUAAUAUGUUUCUUCAGAAACGUAAAGUGUUACUCAUCGAUAUCAGCAGCUAUAUGUGGCUAAGUUGUCAUGGAACCUUUUGUAGGCAUCCCCUUCCCCAUCUGAACUCAGAUGCUCACUGUUGGGAACUACCGGUGGCACUCUUUUACCUAAAAAGCCCAGGAAUGACUUAGACAGAAGUGGCACUUCUCUUCUUUGGGCAAUGAGAACAAAACAAAACAAAAAAUAAAAGAACAAUCACCUGAGGUUUUAGGAUUAAACUUCUGCAACAACAAAAUGAUCAACACAACAACAAAAAGGCAUCUUGUGGAUGUUAAAUUCUUUGCAGGCUUUGCCUGGGUAUGAUGAGAAUAAUCACCAACACCUGAAAGCAAGCCUUUUCAUCUGGUAAGAAUCUUUUUAAUACACCUGUGCAUGCUGCCACAAGGGAAACAGUAUCUAAAACAGCAAAAAAAUGAGGUCAAAUUCAGCAGCGCUGUCCCAGAGAAAGCUUGUCUCCUGGCCACAAUCAUUUCUGGAGUACCAUGCAUCAUCUUUACUGCUUCAGAUGGAUGCCAGCUACAGACAGUAAGCUAGAAAUACCAAGCUAAAUUUGGCUCUCAGCUCAGUGCUGAUCCUUCUAAUUUUUAUGCAAUUACUCCACUUUUACACAAACAUAACUUAAGGCAAAACAUGAACCAUAAACUUUUGAGCAGAUCCACAGAUGUUCAGAACUUUCACAUGGAACUCCUUAUCCCAAGAGCAUGGUCCUUUGAAGAUAACUGCUAUAUGAUGAUUAUUCCAGCUCACCGCUCCUUUGAGGGAGAAGGGAAGAGCCAUGGCCUCAUCCCACCCCACUCUGGUUCGGUUCAAACCAAAUCCCGUUGCUAACAUUUUCUCCCUUUCCUGCCAGUAGGACCAGGAUAGCCCCUCUUUUUUUCAUGAACUUCAGACUUUUUGUCCUCAUUUUCUUUGAGCAGCUCUGCCCCCUGCCUGUGUCUCAGUUUUUAUUUUUUAUUGCUCACAUUGUCCCAGCCCCCUCUCUAAAUGCUCUGCUUGUAUCCUUCUCCUAUAUAGAAGCCAACGUUCCAUAGUAACGUCACUCAACCAGAUUUCAAUAACUCUUGAAAGCAGCUUUCAGUCAGCAGUGCUCCUAAACAACCAGUCUCAACCAGGCAACUCCAGAAAUGUUCAUUUUAACUCAUGUCCUUUCUAUUUUCU
ensembl:lncRNA